rnacentral:rRNA from 1 species
AUUGAACGCUGGCGGCAGGCCUAACACAUGCAAGUCGAGCGGAUGAAGGGAGCUUGCUCCUGGAUUCAGCGGCGGACGGGUGAGUAAUGCCUAGGAAUCUGCCUGGUAGUGGGGGAUAACGUCCGGAAACGGGCGCUAAUACCGCAUACGUCCUGAGGGAGAAAGUGGGGGAUCUUCGGACCUCACGCUAUCUGAUGACCCUAGGUCGGAUUAGCUAGUUGGUGGGGUAAAGGCCUACCAAGGCGACGAUCCGUAACUGGUCUGAGAGGAUGAUCAGUCACACUGGAACUGAGACACGGUCCAGACUCCUACGGGAGGCAGCAGUGGGGAAUAUUGGACAAUGGGCGAAAGCCUGAUCCAGCCAUGCCGCGUGUGUGAAGAAGGUCUUCGGAUUGUAAAGCACUUUAAGUUGGGAGGAAGGGCAGUAAGUUAAUACCUUGCUGUUUUGACGUUACCAACAGAAUAAGCACCGGCUAACUUCGUG